GAAUAUCGUCGUUGUUUGACAAAAGUCCGAAAGAAAGCCACGGCUAACUCUGUGCCAGCAGCCGCGGUAAUACAGAGGUGGCAAGCGUUGUUCGGAAUCACUGGGCAUAAAGGGCGUCUAGGCGGAUCGGUCAGUCGGCUGUGAAAUCCCUCGGCUCAACCGAGGAAGUGCAUCCGAUACUGCCGGUCUUGAGGACGAGAGGGG
rnacentral:rRNA from 1 species